GUAGGUGGCAAGCGUUGUCCGGAAUUAUUGGGCGUAAAGCGCGCGCAGGUGGGUUCUUUAAGUCUGAUGUGAAAGCCCCCGGGCUCAACCGGGGAGGGUCAUUGGAAACUGGGGAACUUGAGUGCAGGAGAGGAAAGUGGAAUUCCACGUGUAGCGGUGAAAUGCGUAGAUAAGUGGAGGAACACUAGUGGCGAAGGCGACUUUCUGGCCUGUAACUGACACUGAGGCGCGAAAGCGUGGGGAGCAAACAGGAUUAGAUACCCUGGUAGUCCACGCCGUAAACGAUGAGUGCUAAGUGUUGGGGGGUUUCCGCCCCUCAGUGCUGCAGCUAACGCAUUAAGCACUCCGCCUGGGGAGUACGGUCGCAAAGACUG
rnacentral:rRNA from 1 species